rnacentral:rRNA from 1 species
AGGACUAACGCUGGCGGCGUGCCUAACACAUGCAAGUCGAACGAAGUAGCAAUACUUAGUGGCAGACGGGUGAGUAACACGUAGUCAACCUGCCCUUCAAUGGGGGAUAACUAGCCGAAAGGUUAGCUAAUACCGCAUACGAUCUCUGAGUGGCAUCACUCGGCGAUGAAAGGAGUAAUCCGUUGAAGGAGGGGACUGCGUCCCAUUAGUUAGUUGGUGGGGUAAUGGCCUACCAAGACUCCGAUGGGUAGCUGGCUUGAGAGAGCGACCAGCCACACUGGAACUGAGACACGGUCCAGACUCCUACGGGAGGCAGCAGUGAGGAAUUUUCCGCAAUGGGGGAAACCCUGACGGAGCGACGCCGCGUGUGGGAAGAAGGGCCUUCGGGUCGUAAACCACUGUCGAGGGGGACGAGUAUUGACGGUACCCCUGGAGGAAGCCCCGGCUAACUACGCGCCAGCAGCCGC